rnacentral:rRNA from 1 species
UUUGUCAAAUUCUUUCUCUGCCGCCCGCUGCUCGGCUUGCCCAGCGGCCGUGAGGAGCGACAGAAUUGGUAGGUAGGUAGGUAGGCAGGCAGUAGCGGCGGCUGCUACGCCGUCAGUUAACGGGGUGCUUGUGAAGGCGGUGUCUAUGCCGACAGCAGCCCCGCGGGGCGAAGUUUUGGGUCUACUGGGGCGCCUGUUCAGUGCUGCUCGGGCGUGUCUUGCCGUUACCGCAGGAGGAGGAGGGGCCGCCGAGGCAACGAGGGUGGAACAGUUCUACUCGUCCUAUUCCUCCUGCGUCCACGAGCCUCGCUGCCGCCCUCAGUCGCCCUCGUCCCCCACUACGCCUCGACCCGCCUCCGCCGCGACGACACGACGCCGCGCCUGACGCCGCUGCGCCUCGCCGACACCGCGUCCCACCACGACGCGUUCACCGAGUUGCAGCCGCGGCCCAGGCCGCUGAGGCUGAAGUCGCGGCUGCUCAAGCUCCGGCUCCGGCUCUGGCUGCUGCUCCUCGGGCCGGUGGUUCUCUUCACGACAACGACCCUUGUGUUUGACAAACUACUCCUCUCCUCUAGCGCACCUGAACCACGCCCGUGCUAACCAUUAGUUCACUUCCGACACGGACUGUCUGAAUUUUCCACGUUAAGUCUCUGUGAAGCGCGAGUCAUAUAGCUACAGCGACUUGAGUCCUAAAAGCAUCCCUGUACCUUACAACCUCCGUCUCAAGGUGGAUGACUGAAUCUGUAAGUUCUUACCGACCGCUACCUCCUCGGUCGACUAUAAAUACAAGAGCCUAAAGUUCUUUAACAGGGUGAUUUACGACCCUUAUAUAAGCCACGACUUCUACUGGUAGGUCAACAUCAUACCCUUGUAUAGUAAGCACUUUGAAACUUAUUCUAUACAGGUAUAUUUGGUUUCGUAUUUACACAGUCACUAGGAGGAAGUGGUAGUUUCAAGUUAGGUAGUCUAAUAGAACACUACCUUCUACUAAAAGAAUCACUCCGGCUGUUACCUUCACUCCCCCUUGAAGUAGGUAACUAACCUGUUCUGUAAUUAGGUCAAUGAUUACUAUCACCGCAAACAUUUUGUAUACUUAUGAGGUGGAGACGAAGGUCACUUUCUCAAGUGCUUCCGCUUCUGAAGUCGUUCUACGAAGGUCAUUUAUGAAGAGUAGUGAGGGUGUUGAGUUCAGUAUGCGAAAAAUCUAGAUUAGACUUUCUUGGCUCGUUGGUUCGGCCAGUGAACCUUUCCGGACCUUACUAAACCGGACUUGUUGUUAACCUAUACGUCCAAGUAGAAGAAGUCCUGUCGUGUAGUCAAUGAAGUCACUUCUGAGAUUGUCGAAGACGCAGAAAGUUUAGCUCUGUACUCUUAAGAUUACCAAAAGGUCUUCUAUUAGACCUGGUACUACAAUCAUAGCUAUUAUCUCAGCAACUUUCUUUUUUAAGUUUAAAGCAUGCCUAUUAUUCGUUCGUUUACCACCCUUAUAUAGAAAGCCACACCCAAGUCUCUCCGGAAUCCUCCGUGUAAGUCUUAAACUCUCAUAGUUGACAUCCACAUCCGCGCUACCCAAUGUAGCCAUUGUUCCCUAGUUAUAGUCAGUCGUACAGAUAUAUAGUCUGUGGGAAAACAAAACAUACAACGGUGGACUGUAGACCACUUUUCCUACCUUUAGAUUGUUUCUCUUUACGUCUACAACUUCUUUAGGAAGCUUCUUGCCAUAAAUUGGGUCAAGUAUCUCAGUCGUACGGAUUCCCUUAUGUACUGGUACUGGUAAAGUAUUUAAAGUCUUUCUAAUAUACCAAACCCCUAGAGUUGAUGGCUUAGUUGGAUAGUAUACUUUCUUGUGUACUUGAAUAGAGGUCUUUCCUUACCCUAAAUAACAAACUGUUACUAGUCGAUUUCACCCUUGACUACUUUCCCGCAUGUAAACUGCCAACCUAGCUUCCCCACUAAUCGAAGGGGGGUUGUAUAUUUAUGCUUAAAUUAAGUCUAUUCAUACGCCCGCUGCUCGGUUAUAGACGCUCUUCUUCUGGACGUACCACGCUGGCCUAAGAAAGUAUGCCUUUCCCGUAGUCCAACCUAAGAAUGUCUUCCCACCUCGAAUUAGAAAGCCUAGUGGCGGGCCACAGGCGACAGAUGUACCGGCUCCAACUUCAAAAUACGGUGUCUUUCAAAGUCUUCCGACAUUGUAAGUGGUUACAUCUCCAACUCCUAGUAGACAAUAACCUCUCUACUUUGUGAACAACUUACUUCUUGGUACCUGACACUCUCUUGUACUUCAAGAAUCGAGUAUCCGCGUUACCGGCUUCCCUUUACGGCCAUUAAAGUCUGUUCAAUGGUCUUACAUUUCUUCGUCUAUCCCGACCGUCAAACUACGUAUGAUCCCUAACCCAACACUCACACACAAAGGCUGGUUUAACCAGCAGGGCAUUUACUUUUCUUCUUAUUUUCCAUCGGGCUGAGGAGUCUUCUCCUACUUAACAAGUAUAGAUUGUCCUAGACGUCUCUUUACUCACUACAAGAAGGGGAAAAGAAUAGCUCCAUGACAAGAACGA